UGUGCCUAAGUACAGCCUCAUAGCUGCUAGCGUGUCUGUCCACUCUCAGUCUUCAUUCUCACAACUAUAUGGAAAAUCCAAAUCACAUUAUUGUUUAGAAUUCGUGCUUUCAUCACCAUAACUGUGGCCAGAUUUGAACAAAAAGUCAACCACAGUGGAUGUUUGACACAAUGUAUACAUAUUUCUUUUAUGAAAAGUGAAAUUAGUUCCUGUUUGAAUAUGCAAAUUAUAACAUCUAGUUAAGUUACAGUGGCCUGCUCGCAUUGGAAACAUUUGAGCAAAGCUCGGCUACUCAAACUGCAUGCAGCAAUAUAAAAAAGGCACAUUUGUCUGUCACUGGGUAAGUAGGAAACAAAAUAUUAAAAUGCCCCCAAAACCUAACCAUCCAUUCAAUUGUGGACACCAAAACCAUGAAUUCCACACUAUUAACUGUGCUGAGGGUUUUCAUGGAUGUACUGUGCGCCUGUUUACAACAUCUACUUUGGAUCCAAUGGGUUUGGAUCCACUUCUCAACCUCCAACCCUGAAGCUAUUUUUUCUCCAACAUUGAAGCCAGGAAUCUGUAUGACUACUAACCCUUUUUUGAUAGGAAAAGAGAUGUAUACUGAAUUCACAAUGUCAGCAGCUCUCACCCAACAAAAGCAGCUCAAAUCACAGGUUUGGGGCCAAGCAGUCCAGUCCAGAGUAGCAGAACUCCACAGGGAGAGCUGAUGAUUGCCUGUAAUUACAGUCUGUAUCCUCUCUCCCACCGAUCAUCUCUUCUGGGCUCAUCUGGCCAGGCCUGGCUGAGGUAACGUUCUCCACGCUAGAGUCAUUAACUGGUGAGAGCCGCAGCGAGGAAAAGCUCACUAGGGAGGCAUUGACACGUUUCCUUCACCUUGACAUUGCCUGGAGGUUACACCAUUCAUUUCGCAGUAAAGUACGGUUCUGGGAGGUAAGAAUCAUGUGAAUCAAGGGUUUCUGAUACAUAAAAGGUCUCUCUGUGUGAGGUAGUCUUAGUCCCUCAACUCUCAACGUGCUCUGAACCGUUGGAAUGUGUUGAUGAAAGAUGUGUGAGAGAGUAACUGUGUGUGUGUGUGUGUGUGAGAAAGAGAGAGAGACAGAGAGAGAGACUGUGAAUCUAUGUGGAUUUAUGUGUCGAUAUGUACACACGAAUGAGAGUGGUCAGUCUACAGAAAAGGUGUAGUAUGGUGUGAGUAUUGGCAGCAAACACAAAAACACACACUAGCCUGAGCCUUAUCCCAUGUCCUGACACAGCUGAUUGUUAAUUUGAGCAAUCAUAGUAGAUAUAGCUGUGCACCAUGUCUAUCUUCUCACAUUACCCAAAGACACUGACUGCCUGUCCGUCAGCUGAUCACCACGAUGAAACACUGACAGGUUAAACUCCGAAGGCAAAAAGCCAACAGUCUUAAAAUGUCACUUUCCAUGGAAAGCCAUAAACUACAACAUGAGCAAAUUGCUCCUUCAACUUAGAAAGUAAGAAUUUCAGACUUUUUUAAAACAUGCAAGCAUUUAUAAAUGAGGUAAUGCUAAAUGGAAUACACUAUAACAGGUGUGUGAGGUGUGAUUUUCUAGUAACCUGUAACCUUACUCGACAGUUGUUUUCACUUCCUGUCAAUCAAAAUACUGAAGAAUGAUGACAGCUGCAUGUGGAAAUGUGUCUGCUGAAAUAACCCUGUACUGCCUGAGAGGUGCCUGCGAUCCUCCCGCCUCUCACCCUCCCCUGUAACUCCCUCCCUCCCUCGAGGGUGUUCAGGUAGAGUAAUGCUGAGCUGCCAUCGGAGUGGCUGGUCCUGACGUGCGCUUUACCUCAGCUCUCUGGGGAUUGGAGCCCAGCCAACCGUAUGUAAUUAAAAGCGCAUAAAGACAGAUCAAGCUCUCUGCCGCUCUUUCUAGUCAAGAAUGCCUCAAGGCUGAAUCCACUCCAUGUCUUGCUCUGUCAAGCUCCAGGGAACUCAUUUAUUAAAAUGUCCAACACCUUUAUCCUUGAUUUUGAUGAGAAUAAUGAUGAAUAAAAUCUCACAAUACACAAUAUGGGAAGUUGUUUUAGAGGUUGCUAUAUUGAAGAAAAUAGAUAAAAAUAAAUGCAAACCACUAAUUUAAACAUUAUGGCAUUUUAUACAAGAGAGUGACGAUGUCCAUUCCAAAGUUUAAUUUGUUUAAUUUACACUUUUGAGUUAAUGGAAAUGAUCAUUUGAAAAUAAUAUAUAUGCAUUUAUAUGUUUUAAAAGCCAAAAAGACAGAAAUAUGAUAUGAAAAUGUAUGGAUUUUGUCAAACUCUCUCUUGAGAAGCCAUUUCUUCUUUUGUUCUAGUACAGCUAUUUAUGUUAGAUAAGAAAGUGGGAAUCCCUCACCCCGGCACAAGUGCUCUGAGCAGUAGUAGGUCAAAGUGAGUCAGGUCAGUAGUCUUACAGUCAUUUAUUUUAUUUUUUUUUGCCGAUUUCCAUUUCAAUUCCACUGCUCUUCAUCAUGUUGAACUAUUGUGUCUGUGUGGGCUGCACAAAAUCCAGCCUGUCAGGACACUGAGUCCACACAUCACUCAAUUUCUCACUUUGCCCCACUAUUUCUCCUCACCUUUGCCUGUUUCCAGUCUCUUGGACAACCAAAAGGCUCCAAAUUAUAAGGUUGUGGUCUAUCAAAUGUGUAUGAGUGAGUACCUUUUUUCAAACUCAUCUGUGCCGACAAUGGCAUCUCAAUCAUUAUAUUACUUGACAUUGUGACAAUUUCCCCAAUUUGAGGUGGGUGUGUAAAACAGCCUUGCAAAAAUUAAUCCAAAUGUUGCUGCUGUCACAGACACGCCAGGCUCCACCACACCACACACACCGCAUUCCUUCACCUGAGCACUGAUUCCUUGCACCUGUCACCCAUCACACACCUGAACGUAAUCAGCCACUCUACUCCUCCAUAAAUUCCAACUCCUCAACACAGUCUGUGUCCAGUCACGUUAGUAUGAAGGACAGUACUUCUACUUCUGCCUCCAAUACUCCACGGACUCACCCACGACUCUUCGUCCCGACUACCGCUACCCCAAACCCGACUCCAGUAAUCUCCAGAUCCCUGAGUGUGUCGCUCCGGCUUCUGUGUGUCUCCAGUCUCCCGUGUGUGUCGCUCCGGUUCCCGUGUUCCUCUGUUCAACUCCAGAACUCUUCUGCCAUCAUCUAAAUAAGGGACGGUAUCACUAACCCCUCUCAUCCAUUCAUAUUACCUUUGUGUGUCAAUAAACUCUGUCUCUUCA